UGGGAGUAUUUGAUGUCAUACAGUUUUGAGCAAGAUGUACCUGUACAGAAACCAAUUUUGUGUGUUGGACAAUAAGCUAUUGGAAAAGGGAUCUUACAGAAAACACACCACCUGUAUUUCUCUAUCCACCCGGGAAACACUAAGAGGUACAAGAUAUGAAGUGCUACUAUCAUUGGCCUAGUAUGAGAAAGAUUGUAGCUACACUGCGUCGUGGUGU
rnacentral:lncRNA from 1 species